UACGUAGGGUGCGAGCGUUGUCCGGAAUUAUUGGGCGUAAAGAGCUCGUAGGCGGUGUGUCACGUCGGCCGUGAAAACCUGCAGCUUAACUGUGGGCGUGUGGUCGAUGCGGGCAUCACUGGAGUUCGGCAGGGGAGACUGGAAUUCCCGGUGUAGCGGUGAAAUGCGCAGAUAUCGGGAGGAACACCGGUGGCGAAGGCGGUUCUCUGGGCCUGUUCUGACGCUGAGGAGCGAGAGCGUGGGGAGCGAACAGG
rnacentral:rRNA from 1 species